AUUGAACGCUGGCGGCAGGCCUAACACAUGCAAGUCGAGCGGAUGAAGGGAGCUUGCUCCUGGAUUCAGCGGCGGACGGGUGAGUAAUGCCUAGGAAUCUGCCUGGUAGUGGGGGAUAACGUCCGGAAACGGGCGCUAAUACCGCAUACGUCCUGAGGGAGAAAGUGGGGGAUCUUCGGACCUCACGCUAUCAGAUGAGCCUAGGUCGGAUUAGCUAGUUGGUGGGGUAAAGGCCUACCAAGGCGACGAUCCGUAACUGGUCUGAGAGGAUGAUCAGUCACACUGGAAAUGAGACACGGUCCAGACUCCUACGGGAGGCAGCAGUGGGGAAUAUUGGACAAUGGGCGAAAGCCUGAUCCAGCCAUGCCGCGUGUGUGAAGAAGGUCUUCGGAUUGUAAAGCACUUUAAGUUGGGAGGAAGGGCAGUAAGUUAAUACCUUGCUGUUUUGACGUGACCAACAGAAUAAGCACCGGCUAACUUCGU
rnacentral:rRNA from 1 species